CGCGCGCGCGCUUAAACCCUAAACCUAAAGCAUCGGCUCGGCGCGUCCUACCCUUCCCCCUCCUGUCUCAACCCAACCAGAAGAGAAAGGAACUCUCACAUCAAUCUCUUCGCAUCCAGAUUCGCAAUGUUCGCCUCCAUUCUCCUUCGAGAACAUUCCAGAGCCUACCCCAAGCUUCUUCUAGCCAGCCUCACCUUUGUCCGGUCCAUGGGCGGCGGUCCCCGGACCUUUCCCGGCGGCCUAAACAAGUGGCAGUGGAAGCGACUCCACGAGAAGAAAGCCAUGGAGAAGGAGAAGAGACUUCUAGAACAAGAGAAACAGCUCUACUACGCCCGAAUCCGAUCCCAAAUCCGGGCCAAACUCGCCGGCAAAUCCGAUGAAGACCCGCGUUUCGACCCUAAUUACCAUCCCAUGACCCCAAGCGACCAAAUCAAAGCCCUCGCUGACCGGUUCAUGAAGCCUGGGGCUGAAGACCUGUGGAACGAAGCCGAUGGCCCCGUCAAGUCUCCACCCCAGCAUACACCAAAUAUCCGUUCGCCUCGAGCGCCGAUUGAUCUAAGGAAGUUGAUUUCGCACAAUGAUGGGACUCAGCAUUCGGAGAAUUUGACAUUUUCACAGAAGCGUCGGCAUUACUCGCUUUAUACUCGGAGUAGAGAGGGGUCAAGGUUCAGUUUUCGGAGAAAUGAGAGUUCAGAAAGCGAGGACGAUACCGAAGAUGAUUUUAGUGAUGAAGAGAAGGAUGAGGAAAGGGGAGGGAGGGGAAAGGUGAGGAAGAUGAUGAGUAGUGCUGCUUUGGGAGAUUAUGACAUGAAGAAAACAAGGAGAGUGCCACUGAAGUUUCUGGAACAGGAGGAAAAUGAAAAUUUAUCGGAGCACAUUGAGGCGAUCAGAAAUGAGGUUAACAAGAGGAAUUUGAUGAAAAAUGCUGUGGACAGAAGCGAUGAGGAGCCAAUUCUCAGUCAAAAGAGAUUUGAUGAGUGUAAUGUGUCUCCAUUGACUGUCAAGGCCCUUACUCAGGCUGGCUAUGUGCAAAUGACCCGGGUACAAGAAGCUACACUUUCUGUUUGCCUUGAGGGAAAAGAUGUUUUAGUCAAGGCUAAAACUGGGACAGGAAAAAGUGCUGCUUUUUUGCUUCCUGCAAUUGAAACAGUGUUAAAGACGUCUAGUAGCAAUGCAAACCAACGGGUGCCACCAAUAUGUGUUCUUAUUCUAUGUCCGACAAGGGAACUUGCAAGUCAGAUAGCUGCAGAAGCAAAUGUCAUGCUGCGGUUCCAUGAUGGUAUUGGGGUCCAAACCCUAGUUGGAGGUACAAGAUUCAAAGUUGACCAGAAACGCCUGGAAUCAGAGCCUUGUCAGAUAAUAGUUGCAACUCCUGGUAGAUUGUUGGAUCACAUUGAGAACAAGUCUGGGUUGUCUGUGCGUUUGAUGGGAUUGAAAAUGCUUAUUCUUGAUGAAGCAGAUUACUUGUUAGACCUAGGAUUCCGAAAGGACAUGGAGAAGAUUGUUGACUGUUUGCCCCGUCAGAGGCAGUCCCUGUUGUUUUCUGCUACUAUCCCUAAGGAGGUUCGUCGAAUAUCGCAGCUUGUUUUGAAAAGGGAACAUGCUUAUGUUGAUACUGUGGGGUUUGGUUGUCUGGAAACUCAUGCUAAGAUUAAGCAGUUUAGCCUUGUUAUGCCACACGAUCUGCAUUUUCAAACAGUGCACCAUCUAUUGAGUGAGCAUAUUUUACAGACACCUGAUUACAAGGUUAUUGUUUUCUGUACAACUGCAAUGGUAACAUCCCUUAUGUUUCUCCUUUUGCGGGAGAUGAAACUGAAUGUCAGGGAGAUGCAUUCGAGAAAACCUCAACUCUACCGUACCCGUGUCUCAGAUGAAUUCAAGGAGUCAAAACGACUGAUUCUCAUUACAUCAGAUGUAUCAGCUCGUGGGAUGAAUUAUCCCGAUGUUACUUUGGUCAUUCAGGUGGGUGUCCCAUCCGUUCGUGAACAAUACAUCCAUCGUCUUGGAAGAACAGGAAGAGAAGGCAAGGAAGGAGUGGGGAUAUUGUUGCUGUCUCCAUGGGAAGAAUAUUUCCUGGACGAAAUAAAAGAUCUGCCCAUGGAAAAAUAUCCCUUGCAACAUUUAGAUGCAGAUGUGAAAGUAAAGGUGGAGAAUUCAAUGGCAAAGAUUGAUGUUAGCAUAAAGGAAGCGGCUUAUCAUGCAUGGCUGGGAUACUACAACUCAAUCAGAGAAAUUGGGAGAGACAAAACUACACUAGUGGAGCUAGCCAACCAAUUCUGUGCAUCAAUUGGCUUGGAGAAACCUCCACCACUCUUUAGGAAGACAGCUCUCAAAAUGGGCUUGAAAGAUAUCCCUGGAAUUCGGAUUCGGAAAUAAUAGAGCAUCAUUCAAUUCCACUCGUAUGGAUGAAUCAGGAUUCAGGGUAAGGUGGUACCAUAGCUAGCAUAUAUAUAUGUCCCGUCAUCUUGGAUGUACAGGCCGACAUCUGCAAGUCUUCGGGCCAUUCUCGCCGCCGGAUUCAAUGGCACUAAAGCAUCCCACCACCGGCGUCCCCCUCCUGAUCAUGCUGCUGGUGCUCGCCGCCGCCCAGCCCUCAGGCGGCCGCAUCAUCACGAACGAAGCAGCGGCUGCCGAAAGACUCACAAGGGAAUUCUCCGCUCUGUUUCUAGGGCAUUUUCCUGCAGCUGAUCAUCUUGCGAAAUCAAGUAUCGACGACGACCCAGUUUAUAAAGUGUCUCGCCGGACGGUUCCCGGCGGACCCGACCCACUUCACAAUUGAUCAGCUCCUUUUUUAGGUGAUGUAAGAUCUUGCUAGAUAUAUAUAUAUAUAUAUAUACUUGCAGUGUUAUAUACUCAAAACAUAUAUAUGUAUAUAUACAGCUAUAUAUGGCUGCAUGAUAUAUACAGUUGGUAUAGAAAUGCAAACCAUACAAAAUGAUAGCUGCACAUCUUUGCGGCACAUAUAUAUGUAAUCGUGUGUGAUAUAUAUAUAUAUAUG